AGCAAAAUGAUGAGGUGCUUAUAUAUGAGUAUGAUGUAGAACACCAUAGCAUUUUGGUCUUCGAAGUUCUCAGAUUGCU